rnacentral:rRNA from 1 species
GGAAUCUUGCACAAUGGAGGAAACUCUGAUGCAGCGAUGCCGCGUGAGUGAAGAAGGCCUUUGGGUUGUAAAGCUCUUUUGUAGGGGAAGAUAAUGACUGUACCCUAAGAAUAAGGUCCGGCUAACUUCGUGCCAGCAGCCGCGGUAAUACGAAGGGACCUAGCGUAGUUCGGAAUUACUGGGCGUAAAGCGCGCGUAGGCCGUUGAGUUAGUUAAUUGUGAAAUCCCAAAGCUUAACUUUGGAACUGCAAUUAAAACUGCUCGACUAGAGUUUGAUAGAGGAAAGCGGAAUACAUAGUGUAGAGGUGGAAUUCGUAGAUAUUAUGUAGAACACCAGUUGCGAAGGCGGCUUUCUGGAUCAACACUGACGCUGAGGCGCGAAAGUAUGGGUAGCAAAGAGGAUUAGAUACCCUCGUAGUCCAUACCAUAAACGAUGAUUGCUAGAUGUUGGAAAUUUAUUUUCAGUAUCGCAGCUAACGCAUUAAGCAAUCCGCCUGGGGAGUACGACCGCAAGGUUAAAACUCAAAUGAAUUGACGG